CGGCCAAGUGCGAGUCGGACUCGCCCACCGAGGUGAAAGGUAAAUUUAUGACGUAUUAAAAAAAAUACUUACUAGAUCUCGUUCAAACCAAUUUUCGGUGGAAGUUUGCAUGGUUAAUGUAAGUACAUCAUAUAUUUUUUCAGUUUUAUCAUUCUCUUAUUUUAGAAGUUACGGGGGGGGGGGGGGGGGACGACACACAUUUUACCACUUUAGAAGUGUCUCUCGCGCAAAUUAUUCAGUUUAGAAAAAAAUUAUAUUAGAAACCUCCAUAUCAUUUUUGAAGACCUAUCCAUAGAUACCCCACACGUAUGGGUUUGAUGAAAAAAAAUUUUUUUGAUUUCAGUUCUAAGUAAGUAUGGGGAACCCCAAAAUUUAUUGUUUUUUUUCUAUUUUUGUGUGAAAAUCUUAAUGCGGUUCACAGAAUACAUCUACUUACCAAGUUUCAACAGUAUAGUUCUUAUAGUUUCGGAAAAAAGUGGCUGUAACA